rnacentral:rRNA from 2 species
AUGACCUCGGAUCAGGUAGGGAUACCCGCUGAACUUAAGCAUAUCAAUAAGCGGAGGAAAAGAAACCAACAGGGAUUACCUCAGUA